rnacentral:rRNA from 1 species
UACAGAGGUCUCAAGCGUUGUUCGGAUUCAUUGGGCGUAAAGGGUGCGUAGGCGGCGCGGCAAGUCGGGUGUGAAAUCUUGGAGCUUAACUCCGAAACUGCAUUCGAUACUGCCGUGCUUGAGGACUGGAGAGGAGACUGGAAUUUACGGUGUAGCGGUGAAAUGCGUAGAUAUCGUAAGGAAGACCAGUGGCGAAGGCGGGUCUCUGGACAGUUACUGACGCUGAGGCACGAAGGCCAGGGGAGCAAACGGG